UACGUAGGGUGCGAGCGUUGUCCGGAAUUAUUGGGCGUAAAGAGCUCGUAGGCGGUGUGUCACGUCGGCCGUGAAAACCUGCAGCUUAACUGUGGGCGUGCGGUCGAUACGGGCAUCACUGGAGUUCGGCAGGGGAGACUGGAAUUCUGGUGUAGCGGUGAAAUGCGCAGAUAUCAGGAAGAACACCCGUGGCUAAGGCGGCUCUCUAGUACGGUACUGGACGCUGAGA
rnacentral:rRNA from 1 species